UUCCAAUCGAACCUGGAGAUAGCUGGUUCUCUCCGAAAUAGCUUUAGGGCUAGCCUCAAGUGAUGAUUAUUGGAGGUAGAGCACUGUUUGGACGAGGGGCCCCUCUCGGGUUACCGAAUUCAGACAAACUCCGAAUGCCAAUUAAUUUAACUUGGGAGUCAGAACAUGGGUGAUAAGGUCCGUGUUCGAAAGGGAAACAGCCCAGACCACCAGCUAAGGUCCCAAAAUAUAUGUUAAGUGGAAAAGGAUGUGGCGUUGCCCAGACAACUAGGAUGUUGGCUUAGAAGCAGCCAUCAUUUAAAGAGUGCGUAAUAGCUCACUAGUCGAGUGACACUGCGCCGAAAAUGUACCGGGGCUAAACAUAUUACCGAAGCUGUGGAUUGUCCUUUGGACAAUGGUAGGAGAGCGUUCUAAGGGCGUUGAAGCAUGAUCGUAAGGACAUGUGGAGCGCUUAGAAGUGAGAAUGCCGGUGUGAGUAGCGAAAGACGGGUGAGAAUCCCGUCCACCGAUUGACUAAGGUUUCCAGAGGAAGGCUCGUCCGCUCUGGGUUAGUCGGGUCCUAAGCUGAGGCCGACAGGCGUAGGCGAUGGAUAACAGGUUGAUAUUCCUGUACCACCUAUAAUCGUUUUAAUCGAUGGGGGGACGCAGUAGGAUAGGCGAAGCGUGCGAUUGGAUUGCACGUCUAAGCAGUAAGGCUGAGUAUUAGGCAAAUCCGGUACUCAUUAAGGCUGAGCUGUGAUGGGGAGAAGACAUUGUGUCUUCGAGUCGUUGAUUUCACACUGCCGAGAAAAGCCUCUAGAUAGAAAAUAGGUGCCCGUACCGCAAACCGACACAGGUAGUCAAGAUGAGAAUUCUAAGGUGAGCGAGCGAACUCUCGUUAAGGAACUCGGCAAAAUGACCCCGUAACUUCGGGAGAAGGGGUGCUCUUUAGGGUUAACGCCCAGAAGAGCCGCAGUGAAUAGGCCCAAGCGACUGUUUAUCAAAAACACAGGUCUCUGCUAAACCGUAAGGUGAUGUAUAGGGGCUGACGCCUGCCCGGUGCUGGAAGGUUAAGAGGAGUGGUUAGCUUCUGCGAAGCUACGAAUCGAAGCCCCAGUAAACGGCGGCCGUAACUAUAACGGUCCUAAGGUAGCGAAAUUCCUUGUCGGGUAAGUUCCGACCCGCACGAAAGGCGUAACGAUUUGGGCACUGUCUCAACGAGAGACUCGGUGAAAUCAUAGUACCUGUGAAGAUGCAGGUUACCCGCGACAGGACGGAAAGACCCCGUGGAGCUUUACUGUAGCCUGAUAUUGAAAUUCGGCACAGCUUGUACAGGAUAGGUAGGAGCCUUUGAAACGUGAGCGCUAGCUUACGUGGAGGCGCUGGUGGGAUACUACCCUAGCUGUGUUGGCUUUCUAACCCGCACCACUUAUCGUGGUGGGAGACAGUGUCAGGCGGGCAGUUUGACUGGGGCGGUCGCCUCCUAAAAGGUAACGGAGGCGCUCAAAGGUUCCCUCAGAAUGGUUGGAAAUCAUUCAUAGAGUGUAAAGGCAUAAGGGAGCUUGACUGCGAGACCUACAAGUCGAGCAGGGUCGAAAGACGGACUUAGUGAUCCGGUGGUUCCGCAUGGAAGGGCCAUCGCUCAACGGAUAAAAGCUACCCCGGGGAUAACAGGCUUAUCUCCCCCAAGAGUUCACAUCGACGGGGAGGUUUGGCACCUCGAUGUCGGCUCAUCGCAUCCUGGGGCUGUAGUCGGUCCCAAGGGUUGGGCUGUUCGCCCAUUAAAGCGGUACGCGAGCUGGGUUCAGAACGUCGUGAGACAGUUCGGUCCCUAUCCGUCGUGGGCGUAGGAAAUUUGAGAGGAGCUGUCCUUAGUACGAGAGGACCGGGAUGGACAUACCUCUGGUGUACCAGUUGUCGUGCCAACGGCAUAGCUGGGUAGCUAUGUGUGGACGGGAUAAGUGCUGAAAGCAUCUAAGCAUGAAGCC
rnacentral:rRNA from 1 species